AACGUAGGAGGCAAGCGUUAUCCGGAUUUACUGGGCGUAAAGGGCGUGCAGGUGGUGGUCUAAGUGGUGCGUGAAAGCGCUCGGCUCAACCGGGCGAGGGCGUGCCAAACUGGGUCACUAGAAGCAGGCAGAGGCAAGUGGAAUUCGGGGUGUAGUGGUGAAAUGCGUAGAGAUCCCGAGGAACUCCUGUGGCGAAGGCGACUUGCUGGGCCUGCUUUGACACUCAGACGCGAAAGCAUGGGGAGCGAACGGG
rnacentral:rRNA from 1 species